GCGUCCGUAGCUCAAUGGUAGAGCCGCUGCCUUCCAAGCAGAUGACGAGGAGUUCGAUUCUCCCCUGACGCUCCA
rnacentral:tRNA from 1 species